UUUAGUCACCUUCAGGUAGAGAUGGUCCAAUACCAAUUUUUGCUUCCAGAUACAGAUUCCCAUACCUGAACUUGCAAUACC